GACGAACGCUGGCGGCGUGCUUAACACAUGCAAGUCGAACGGAAAGGCCUCUUUCGGGGGGUACUCGAGUGGCGAACGGGUGAGUAACACGUGAGUAACCUGCCCUUGACUUUGGGAUAACUUCAGGAAACUGGGGCUAAUACCGGAUAGGAGCUCCUGCUGCAUGGUGGGGGUGGAACGUUUCGGCGGUUGGGGAUGGACUCGCGGCUUAUCAGCUUGUUGGUGGGGUAGUGGCUUACCAAGGCUUUGACGGGUAGCCGGCCUGAGAGGGUGACCGGCCACAUUGGGACUGAGAUACGGCCCAGACUCCUACGGGAGGCAGCAGUGGGGAAUAUUGCACAAUGGGUGGAAGCCUGAUGUAGCAACGCCGUGUGCGGGAUGACGGCCUUCGGGUUGUAAACCGCUUUCGCUCAUGACGAAGCUUUGUGUGACGGUAGUGGGUAAAGAAGCACCGGCUAACUACGUG
rnacentral:rRNA from 1 species